UCGACACCCAGAGGAGGCAAUGGCUCCGAGCCGUCGUUUGCGGAGAUCUCUGAACCACCCAUAUGUAGCGAUCGACAUCUGGUUGUUGCAGGAAGCACUAAAGGAAAUGACUGGUACAGUCUUGAAAACGGUUCAGCACAUUCAGUUGACAACUCAAAUAGCUGCGGAGCAUGAGAGGAAUAAGGGCUCCUAGGAGGUUGGUUCCCGAAGGAAGUGUGCUCACCGUGAUGCUCAGGUUUCCCGUGUUACUGCCUGAAGGCAGAAGCACAGGGACUCCGCCCCUUUGCAGGAAUGAGAGUCUCGACCGCAGCUCCGAAAUGGUACUCGUUACACAAUGUCUACGUGGCUCAUCAAUGAACGCUGCCUCAGCGUGUUCGAGGCCCAGACACACGAGGCAGCGAACGUAACCAUCCCGUGACCCCUGGCUGUCGCUGAUUGGCUGUAAUACCUGUCAAUCACUCGUAACAAGACAAGUGGGUUUGCCUGUGAGGCGGGAUCGUCAUCAGCACGAUGCGUGACACCUGGAGAAGCCCUACUUAAGACGCACGCUAACAGCGGGAAGACCCAGAAACCAGUCAGUCCUCACCCCGACAGAUGGAGGAUCAGCCAGAUCCCCCGUCUCUGCUUCCAGCCACAGAGCCCCAGACUCCACCUUGGUCCUCUGAUCCAUCAGCUCAGCCUUGGUUAAAUGCUCCCUCAGCUCCACCAUCGCUCAUCAUCCACCUAGCUCCACCAGGCUCCAUCGUCCACCCAUCAUGGCCUUGGUCAGACUUCACCUCGGUUCCAUCGUGGGAUUCCUGACUACCAGUUGUACUUCUGCCCUCCAUCCCUUCUGCUCCACCGGGCUACGCCUUCCCUCCAGCUCCAGCCUUGUCCUCGGUCGCGCUGGCUCCACUGCAGUCUUCCGGAUCCCCACCUCCAUAUCGAUCCCAUGAGCAGCCAGUUUCGCCUUUGCCCCCUGUACCUGUAGUGUCACCUUGGCACCGUGUCCCUUCGGCUCUGUCGCAUUAGAUGACAUCCCUGGUUCUAUCAUGCAAGCCUGGUUUCCAUGUCUGUGACUGCUUCAUUCUUCUCACCAGUUGUCUGUUAUUUAACUAAUUCCUUCCCUAGUUUAGUUCUGGUAAAAAUAAGUACUCCCUAUUUUGUUUAGCUAUGCUAUAUGGUUGUGUUUUCCCAUUUUCAGGCCUGGUUUUAACAUAGAGACUAUUCAUUUUGAAUAAUUCUGCUUGUCUGUCUUUGCUGUGUUUGUGUUUCAGUGGGGUGGGGCUCCAAUCCUGAGGGUGGAUGGAGGACACUGUGGUGUAAGUUUUCCUUCUUCCUGCUCACUGUCUUCGAGAGACAAAAAGAUGGGUUCUCUCUCCUACGUGCCUAUUCCAUUAUGUUUUUGUUUUGUUUGCUGUUGCCAGCAAUUUUGUGAUUAUUAUAGUUUUGUUUGGUAAAUAAAGUGAUUAUCUUUUGA